UCAUAGCAUAGAAACGUCCUUGACGGAAAGGUCAGCAAGAUGGCUGGCAUGAGUUUGCUGCGACCAGUUCUUCAUCGGGCAAUCCGAGCCUCUCUAAUUCAGCAAUGGCAAAAUGGUACUUUGCGACUGCCUACUCUUUCAGCAGAGACUGCAUUGGUAAGGGGAAUGGCAAGUCAUGGACCUCCUAAGAUUCCGAUGCAAGCUAGUAGAUAUGAAUGGAAUGGUUUUAAAGAUGAUAUGAAUUUUUUCCUUUGGAUUGGAUUAAUACCAAUUGGAUUAGUGAUCGCAUAUGCCAACAUGGCUGUAGGUCCAGCAGAAUUGAGAGAUAUACCAGAAGGUUACGAACCAAAACACUGGGAAUAUCACAAGGGUCCGAUACAGAGAUGGUUUUCUAAAAAUAUUUAUAAUGAUCCCGAAAAGGAGUAUGAAAAGAUUUGUAAUUCAUUCUAUCACGAAGGUGAAGAAUUGAAAAUGAAGAAACUUGAAGCUCGAAUGAUGGACUUGAUGCAGUCAAGAGCUGACUAUAAAGGCUGGUACUACUUUCCCGUUGAUAAAAAUAAGGUUGAUAGGGGACGAGAAAUAUAUGAAGAUAUGAAACAUUAACUAUUUAAAGUUGAACAUUAUAAAAUUCACCAGUUUUAAGAAACCUGUUUGAGAAAUAUAUUAAAUAUACCUGGAAAAAGUUUGACCUGUUUUCGGAUAGAUAAUUUAUUGAAUUUAAAGUUCAUUAUUUGAUGGCAGAAAUUGGUCCUCUUUUUUAUGGAAGAACCAUUUAUUUUAUUUAAAGAUUUCUAUAUUUAAUGGAAGAAUUAUUUCAAACAAUUGGUGGAAACCUGAUAGAAACCUCAGCAGUGAAACAAAUUUGUUGCAUCAAUUUUAUGGUGAAAAUCAAGUAUGAAGAAGUCAUCAGUGGACUUGAGGAGACAUAUUGUCAAAGUGUAAUUAUAAAAACUAAAACAGACAAUUAAUGCUAGUUUGAAAGUGUUCUAGCAGGAAAUAAAUUCUACCAAGAAAUUAAUGCUAUCAUGAAAUUAAUGCUAGAGUAAAGGAAUUAGUGCUAAAUGAGAAUUGAUGCUAGAAGAAAGAAAUGAACCUUCUCGUGUCUAAGUUUCUUCUUUUAUUAUCUUUAUAUUCAAUUCUACUAGAAACAUAUUUUAGUAUGUAUUGGAAUUUGAAAGAAUAGAUAUAAAUGAUAUUUAUUAUUUUGAAGAAAGUA